rnacentral:rRNA from 1 species
GGGAGAGGUCAGAGGUACUUCUGGGGUAGGGGUAAAAUCCUGUAAUCCUGGAAGGACCACCGGUGGCGAAGGCGUCUGACUAGAACGGAUCCGACGGUGAGGGACGAAGCCCUGGGGCGCAAACGGGAUUAGAUACCCCGGUAGUCCAGGGUGUAAACGCUGCGGGCUUGGUGUUGGGGGUCCUUAGUGGGCGCCCAGUGCCGGAGAGAAGUUGUUAAGCCUGCUGCUUGGGGAGUAUGUCCGCAAGGAUGAAACUUAAAGGAAUUGGCGGGGGAGCACCGCAACGGGAGGAGCGUGCGGUUCAAUUGGAUUCAACGCCGAAAAACUCACCAGGAGCGACGGAUAUAUGAAGGUCAAGCCGAUGACUUUACCUGAUUUUCCGAGAGGUGGUGCAUGGCCGUCGUCAGUUCGUACCGUAAGGCGUUCUCUUAAGUGAGAUAACGAACGAGACCCUCACCAUUAAUUGCUAAUCCUUUCUCCGGAGGGGAUGCACAUUAAUGGGACCGCUGGCGCUAAGUCAGAGGAAGGAGAGGUCAACGGUAGGUCCGUAUGCCCCGAAUCUCCUGGGCAACACGCGCGCUACAAAGGACGGGACAAUGGGCUUCAACACCGAAAGGUGAAGACAAUCCUGAAACCCGUCCAUAGUUCGGAUUGGGGGCUGUAACUCGCCCCCAUGAAGCUGGAUUCCGUAGUAAUCGCUUGUCAACAUCAAGCGGUGAAUAUGCCCCUGCUCCUUGCACACACCGCCCGUCAAACCACCCGAGUUGGGUUUCAGUGAGGAUGUUUCUAAUUGGGGCUUUCGAACUGAGAUUCAGCAAGGAGGGUUAAGUCGUAACAAGGUAUCUGUAGGGGAACCUGCAGAUG